UACAGAAGGUGCGAGCGUUAAUCGGAAUUACUGGGCGUAAAGCGUGCGUAGACGGUUAUUUAAGUCGGGUGUGAAAGCCCCGGGCUCAACCUGGGAAUUGCAUUCGAGACUGAAUAGCUAGGGUACGGUAGAGGGAAGUGGAAUUUCCGGUGUAGCGGUGAAAUGCGUAGAUAUCGGAAGGAACAUCAGUGGCGAAAGCGACUUCCUGGACCAGUACCGACCGUUCAGGCACGAAAGCGUGGGGAGCAAACAGGA
rnacentral:rRNA from 1 species